UAUUACAAACUUGGGCACAACAGUAGGACAUCCCUACUUGAUAAUUAGCUUUAAUCAGAGCAAUAGUAAGAGAAUUAUUUUCAUAACAGGAGGUAGUUUUAAAUUUGGAGCAAGCCUUUCUGCCAAAAGGGUCUGUUCGCUGAAAAGCAAAGCAAGAAGGGACAUAUUUCAUGACUCUCCUUUGAAAUUGCUCUUGGAAUGCUCGCUUCAGCAGCAGAUGUCCAGUUGGUGAUAGGAUUUGGAGACCAGUACAUAUCAGCCAAGGACCCAUCAAGGUACUUUCUCAGAAUUCACCAUCUGUGCAGUUAAGUAAGAUGAAGUACUCUGUUCCUGAUCACAGCAUAUCCUUGGGUGGUUCGUUUUAGGACUACAGUGUCAUGAUGUUGAUAGUGAAGUGAUUAUUUGUUGUUAUCGUUAU